AGUCAAGUAAUUAAGUGCAUGUGGUGGAUGCCUUGGCAGUCAGAGGCGAUGAAAGACGUGAUAGCCUGCGAAAAGCUCCGGGGAGGCGGCAAAUAUCCUUUGAUCCGGAGAUGUCUGAAUGGGGGAACCCACCUACUUUAAGGUAGGUAUUGCAACAUGAAUACAUAGUGUUGCAAGGCGAACGAGGGGAAGUGAAACAUCUCAGUACCCUUAGGAAAAGAAAUCAAUUGAGAUUCCCUCAGUAGCGGCGAGCGAACGGGGAUCAGCCCAUUAAGUUAUGUGUGUUUUAGUGGAACGCUCUGGGAAGUGCGAACGUAGAGGGUGAUAUUCCCGUACACGAAAGGGCACACAUAAUGAUGACGAGUAGGGCGAGGCACGUGAAACCUUGUCUGAAUAUGGGGGGACCAUCCUCCAAGGCUAAAUACUCCUGACUGACCGAUAGUGAACCAGUACCGUGAGGGAAAGGCGAAAAGAACCCCUGUGAGGGGAGUGAAAUAGAUCCUGAAACCGCAUGCAUACAAGCAGUGGGAGCACCUUCGUGGUGUGACUGCGUACCUUUUGUAUAAUGGGUCAGCGACUUAUAUUCAGUAGCGAGGUUAACCGUAUAGGGGAGCCGUAGAGAAAUCGAGUCUUAAUAGGGCGUUUAGUUGCUGGGUAUAGACCCGAAACCAGGCGAUCUAUCCAUGAGCAGGUUGAAGGUUGGGUAACACUAACUGGAGGACCGAACCCACUGUCGUUGAAAAGCCAGGGGAUGACUUGUGGAUAGGGGUGAAAGGCUAAUCAAGCCUGGUGAUAGCUGGUUCUCCCCGAAAGCUAUUUAGGUAGCGCCUCGGACGAAUACCAUAGGGGGUAGAGCACUGUUUCGGCUAGGGGGUCAUCCCGACUUACCAAACCGAUGCAAACUCCGAAUACCUAUGAGUACUAUCCGGGAGACAGACUGCGGGUGCUAACGUCCGUAGUCAAGAGGAAAACAAUCCAGACCGCCAGCUAAGGCCCCAAAAUCAUAGUUAAGUGGGAAACGAUGUGGGAAGGCAUAGACAGCUAGGAGGUUGGCUUAGAAGCAGCCACCCUUUAAAGAAAGCGUAAUAGCUCACUAGUCGAGUCGGCCUGCGCGGAAGAUGUAACGGGGCUAAAACUAUGUGCCGAAGCUGCGGAUGUAUACUUUGUAUACGUGGUAGGGGAGCGUUCUGUAAGCCGAUGAAGGUGUGUUGAGAAGCAUGCUGGAGGUAUCAGAAGUGCGAAUGCUGACGUGAGUAACGACAAAACGGGUGAAAAACCCGUUCGCCGAAAGACCAAGGGUUCCAGUCCAACGUUAAUCGGGGCUGGGUGAGUCGACCCCUAAGGCGAGGCCGAAAGGCGUAGUCGAUGGGAAAAUGGUUAAUAUUCCAUUACUUCUGUGUAAUGCGAUGAGAGGACGGAGAAGGCUAAAUCAGCCUGGCGUUGGUUGUCCAGGUGAAAGGAUGUAGGCAUGUAUCUUAGGCAAAUCCGGGGUACUCUAUGCUGAGAUCUGAUAGCAAGCUGUACUUGUACAGCGAAGUGGUUGAUGCCAUGCUUCCAGGAAAAGUCUCUAAGCUUCAGUUACACAGGAAUCGUACCCGAAACCGACACAGGUGGUCAGGUCGAGUAGACCAAGGCGCUUGAGAGAACUCUGCUGAAGGAACUAGGCAAAAUGGUACCGUAACUUCGGGAGAAGGUACGCUGUUGUUGGUGAUGGAACUCGCUUCCUGAGCUGACGACAGCCGCAGAAACCAGGCCGCUGCAACUGUUUAUUAAAAACAUAGCACUCUGCAAACACGAAAGUGGACGUAUAGGGUGUGAUGCCUGCCCGGUGCUGGAAGGUUAAUUGAUGGGGUUAGCGUAAGCGAAGCUCUUGAUCGAAGCCCCAGUAAACGGCGGCCGUAACUAUAACGGUCCUAAGGUAGCGAAAUUCCUUGUCGGGUAAGUUCCGACCUGCACGAAUGGCAUAAUGAUGGCGGCGCUGUCUCCAGCAGAGGCUCAGUGAAAUCGAAAUCGCUGUGAAGAUGCAGUGUACCCGCGGCUAGACGGGAAGACCCCGUGAACCUUUACUGCAGCUUGACACUGAACUUUGACCUUACUUGUGUAGGAUAGGUGGGAGGCUUUGAAGCUGGAACGCUAGUUCCAGUGGAGCCGUCCUUGAAAUACCACCCUGGUAAUGUUGAGGUUCUAACUCUGUCCCGUGAUCCGGGACGAGGACCGUGUCUGGUGGGUAGUUUGACUGGGGCGGUCUCCUCCUAAAGAGUAACGGAGGAGUACGAAGGUGCGCUCAGCGUGGUCGGAAAUCACGCGUAGAGUAUAAAGGCAAAAGCGCGCUUAACUGCGAGACCCACAAGUCGAGCAGGUACGAAAGUAGGUCUUAGUGAUCCGGUGGUUCUGUAUGGAAGGGCCAUCGCUCAACGGAUAAAAGGUACUCUGGGGAUAACAGGCUGAUACCGCCCAAGAGUUCAUAUCGACGGCGGUGUUUGGCACCUCGAUGUCGGCUCAUCUCAUCCUGGGGCUGAAGCAGGUCCCAAGGGUAUGGCUGUUCGCCAUUUAAAGAGGUACGCGAGCUGGGUUUAGAACGUCGUGAGACAGUUCGGUCCCUAUCUACCGUGGGCGCUGGAAAUUUGAGAGGAUCUGCUCCUAGUACGAGAGGACCAGAGUGGACGAACCUCUGGUGUACCGGUUGUGACGCCAGUCGCAUCGCCGGGUAGCUAUGUUCGGAAGGGAUAACCGCUGAAAGCAUCUAAGCGGGAAGCCUACCUCAAGAUAAGAUUUCCCUAGGACUUUAUGUCCUCUAAAGAGCCGUUCGAGACUAGGACGUUGAUAGGUUGGAUGUGGAAGCAUAGUGAUAUGUGAAGCUGACCAAUACUAAUUGCUCGUGAGGCUUGACUAU
rnacentral:rRNA from 1 species